CAGUCUGUCUAGUUUUUACAGUCAGUCAAUUAUUUUUUAUUUAUAAAUAUAAAUGAAGCUGAGGAUGUUUCGUUCAGUGCGAUUAAAAGUCUCUGUAAGCUGCCUAACGUGGCACAAAACGUUUCUAUUUGCAAUACGUUGCCUUCAAGUCACCCACUUUUCACAUCUCCCGCCCGCUGGUUGCUACUUUUAUCGCUUGUUGCAGCUGCAAGCACCUCUGGAAUGGCAAGAUAUGCUCAUCACAUAAGCCGCCUACAGCAUUUUCACACAAUGCACACAAGCCUCAUCAGGCAACACUCGCACUCACCUUUCUGGGACUGGUCCAGAAUUGAACCAUCAGAACGUAUGAGAAUAUUCACGAGUCGCCAGUUCUGUUGGGACUUGGCACUCAGCACGGAUGCAGGCGCGGCGAAGCGAGGCAAAUGGCUGGACAUGAACUGGAUGAUUCCAGCUGUUGAUGGUCAUGCUGGUGCAUUUUCAUAUUCACACCAUUUGGGCUGGUGGAGUGCCUCUUCUGGCCAGGCCAGACAAAUUAUGGCCACGAUUCUGACUACUUGUUGGACUCUGAAGUCCUCUUAGAGAAGAGGCUGGCAGUGCUGCUGCUCCGGCGAUAAGCAUUUGCGUGAUUAAUGAAAUUUGAUGCCCCUGCCCAGGAGAACGGCGCCGAAAAAGAGCUGUGAGCGGCGCUUGAGUGGAGCAGCCAAAUAGGAAAGGCUAUUGCCGAAAUCUAAAUACCCUAAUGGGCGUUUCACACUGUUUUUCCAAUUAAAGAUCCUAUGACAGCUAUAUAUUGUAGUGCUCCGAUCUGGCCAGUUGCAUCCAUUUAAGACAAUAGCUUUAGGACCAAGAUACUAGUUGCAUCGAAAGAGACGCUGCUGUUGAUACUGAACUUGAA